rnacentral:rRNA from 1 species
CAGCCCCUCGAGUGGUGGGGAUGAUUAUUUGGCCUAAAGCGUCCGUAGCCGGCCGGGUAAGUUUCCCGUUAAAUCCAGCGUCUCAAGCGUUGGACUGCGGGAAAUACUGCCUGGCUAGAGAGUGGGAGAGGUCAGCGGUAUUCUGGGGGUAGGGGCGAAAUCCUUUGAUCCCCGGAGGACCACCAGUGGCGAAGGCUGCUGACUAGAACACGUGUGACGGUCAGGGACGAAAGCUGGGGUAGCGAACCGGAUUAGAUACCCGAGUAGUCC